GGAGAGAUGCCAGAGCGGUCGAAUGGGGCGGUCUCGAAAACCGUUGUGCAAUUCUAUUGUACCGUGGGUUCGAAUCCCACUUUCUCCGCCA
rnacentral:tRNA from 2 species